GGAUGCGAUCAUACCAGCACUAAUGCACCGGAUCCCAUCAGAACUCCGAAGUUAAGCGUGCUUGGGCGAGAGUAGUACUAGGAUGGGUGACCCCCUGGGUAAGUCCUCGUGUUGCAUCCC
rnacentral:rRNA from 1 species